ACAGAGAGGUAUCCCAGGCCGAGGGAAUCACCUGGGCAAAAGCCGGGGGGUGGGAGGGAGUGUGGAAUGUUUGUGUACCAGCAGGUCCUAGUUCAGGAGAGGGAAGAGUGGGUGUUGUGAGUCUGUGGGGGACCUGGGUGUCCAGGCAUGAGGUCAAAGAGAUAAUAGGCAUGGACCUCAUAGUCCAAGUGGGGCUCUAGCCGUGGGGAGCCACUGAGGGGUUAAGCAGGCAGAAGCCCCGCCAGCUCCUGAUUGGGUUUCAUCAGCCCAGCCUGUGGUUCCGCAGCAGCCUACCCAGCUGGGGCCUUUCUCCUGGCUCCCUUGGCCCAGGGAGCUCCCACUCAUUAUUCCACUGGGCAGAAGAACCAGCCCUUCUCAGCUCCUGGAAAGUGACUCUAUUGCUCCACUGGUCCUGGGACUUCCGCUUCAAGGAUAGCUGAACACAGCCUGUUUCUAGAUGUUGUAGUUCUUUGACUCAAGGAUUUACUGGAUGGACAGUGACCUCAAAGGAGGGAAAGGAGCAUUUGGAACAGCCAGAAGAGAAGGCCCUAGAUUAAGCCUGGGCCAGUGACAGAGCCUCGCCGUCUGGGGAUGGACGUUUCCCCAGGAAGUGCCACUGAAAUGAAAGUUACAGCUCACCUUCCCAGUGAUAUUAGUGACAGCUGGGCAGCACAACUUCUCUGCAGCCUUCCGUCACCACAGCUCAUCUUGAAGCUCUGACUGCAUGUUGCCAGUGUUUAAAAUCAGAGUUUGGGGUGAGUGAAUGUGGCAGGGGAAACCCUCCCUUGAGUUUUGAUUAUACCUAGGAUUAUUGGAUAUUAAGUUCGGAGAAAUAAAGACAUUCAAGAACAUAAAUGGGAGUUCCCG
rnacentral:lncRNA from 1 species